rnacentral:ncRNA from 1 species
AUUGUUUGAGGUGGUAAAUUCCGCUGCAACCACGCGCCCUUUGGGCUAAAAGAGAUGUAGGAGACGGCAGCGCCUACCAAACAAU